rnacentral:rRNA from 1 species
AUAGAUACCCUGGUAGUCCACGCCGUAAACGAUGAGUACUAGGUGUAGGGGGUAUCGACCCCCCCUGUGCCGCAGUAAACACAAUAAGUACUCCGCCUGGGAAGUACGAUCGCAAGAUUAAAACUCAAAGGAAUUGACGGGGACCCGCACAAGCAGCGGAGCAUGUGGUUUAAUUCGAAGCAACGCGAAGAACCUUACCUGGACUUGACAUCCCCUGAAUAACUCGUAAUGGAGGAAGCCCUUCGGGGCAGGGAGACAGGUGGUGCAUGGUUGUCGUCAGCUCGUGUCGUGAGAUGUUAGGUUAAGUCCUGCAACGAGCGCAACCCCUGUCGUUAGUUGCCAUCACGUAAAGGUGGGCACCCUAACGAGACUGCCGCGGUUAACGUGGAGGAAGGUGGGGAUGACGCCGAAAUCAUCAUGCCCCUUAUGUCCAGGGCAACACACGUGCUACAAUGGGCAGAACAGAGAGAAGCAAUACCGCGAGGAGGAGCAAAUCUCAAAAACCUGCCCCCGAGUUCGGAUUGCAGGCUGAAACCCG